CAAACCGAGGCAACGUGCAGCUUCACCAAAGGACUGGAGCUAGGUCCUAUAUAGCCCAUCGUUACAGCCUGAGGACUAAGUACAACAACAUGGAGCCGGAUGCUGUUGAUUUCUUUGGGGAAUGUAUGAAUAGUCCCCGAAAUGGUCGUACUCCGCUUGCAAAUGAGAUAUAUGAGCAAAUGGUUGCAGAGAAGGAAAGAGAGCUAGAAGAAGGAGAAGCA